UAAAAAACCAAAAGUAGCUCCCCUGCUUUUAAUAACAUAAAAGUUUGAGUUUAAAAGCCAAUCCAAACAUACUCUUCUUGUGAAUAUCCAAAAGACCAAAAGAGGGAAUUAAUUCCUAAAGAACUUUGUUACAAGUUGAUGAUCCAGAAAUAACUUGUACAUUUGAUGUGGUUGUUUGAACAGGAAGCAGCACCAUUUUUCUCAGUUUAACAUCGGGCUUAACUGUUCAAGAGAGACCUUGCUCUUUAGGAAGCAACAUCAUUUAUCUCAAGCUGCGAAGUUCAAACUCAGUCGUUCAUUCAUCUGGUCUGAGCUACUACAUUUUGCUACAACAUUUGCUAUUUAUAUUUAAUUAGUGUAUCAAAUAGACUGCAUAUAUGUUUUCAGCUUCAAUUUGUGUUGCUCAAAUCGGUACGUUAUUGUAAUGUUUACCAGCUUGUUAUAAUUUUAUGUGCUAAAUGUGUAAAUAUGUAACAAAGGGAACAAAUCAUGUGAUAUAACAUAACCUAUUGAUGCUA